CACGGUCGUCCGCAGACCCUCGGUGUUUCCGUUCUCCGCUCCGUCCCCGGAACCCUAAGCCGGAGCAUCUUCCUGGUCGCCGUUGUCUUAUAGGCUUCCUAUUUCACGGUCCUCCGCAGGCCUUCGGUCCUUCGGUUUUCCGUCCCGUCCCCGGAACCCUAAGCCGGUGCAUCUUCCUGGCCACCGUUGUCUUAUAGGCUUCCUAUUUCAGCUUCCAUACCUGACUAUACAGGCCGAAACGCCGCCUCUUCUUCGUCGUCGAGCUUGUAUAUCCGCGUAAGUGUUCAGAUUCCUUCUCCUGACGUCGUUGAAUCUCGAUCUGGUUUGAGAAGGAAAAGGGUGCAGUGCGCUGACCAGCGAGAUGGCGGGCAUUGGGAAUGAAUUGGAGCUGUAAAUUUGAUUCUAUCCAUUUAUGGAGAUCUGAUCAAUCCUGGCCAUUCAUUUAGAUUUGAUUGGUUUGGGAUGAUCUGAACCGUUCAUUGUGAUCUAACUAUCCCGACCAUCCAUGAGAAUUUAGCUGAUCUAGACCAUCCGACUAGAUCUGAUCUCAAUCGUUCAGAUAUGAGAAGCGACAGUGAGAAGACAACACUGUGGAUGAAGCACACUGAAGCAGGAUCGCGAGUUUGAAGAAGGCGUACGAGACGCCCGCAUGUCGAUUCAUUGAUACCGGAGAGUAAGCGUGGCAGAACUACUGUGUCAAAGAUCCUACAGUGGGAUCAAUUUAUUUGUUUGGACUUGUCGAUUCUUAGAAUUAUUUUUUUUCUUAUUUAUAAUUUCUUUCACAUAUCAAUUGUAUACAGAUAACUGAGUUACACGAGAUGGUUGCACAUUCGCAAGAGUUGCAUGAGUCGGCUCCACAUUUGCAAGAGUUGCACGAAUCACAUCUGCAAGAGCGGGACAAAACAGGUAUUUGCUUAGUAUA